rnacentral:rRNA from 1 species
UACGUAGGGUGCAAGCGUUGUCCGGAAUUAUUGGGCGUAAAGAGCUUGUAGGCGGUUUGUCGCGUCUGCUGUGAAAUUUCGGGGCUCAACCCCGAACUUGCAGUGGGUACGGGCAGACUAGAGUGUGGUAGGGGAGACUGGAAUUCCUGGUGUAGCGGUGAAAUGCGCAGAUAUCAGGAGGAACACCGAUGGCGAAGGCAGGUCUCUGGGCCAUAACUGACGCUGAGAAGCGAAAGCAUGGGUAGCGAACAGG